UGGCAAUACCCGGAGUCUCCACUGCAAGACCAGAGUGACGGAGGCAGCAGAGCUCCUCAGCAGGCCAGGAGUCUCCAGAGGCACUGCCGAAUGUCUAAGAAGCAACCUCAUUGUAUUCCCAAGACCUGGGAAUCCAGGUCUCGCAGAUACGAUGAUACAAUCUAUAGCCAGGACAUCUCUUCAUGUGUAGUUUUCAAUGAAUACUAGGAUAAGCAACUAUCCCAGUCUUCCCAGGAUUGAGGGGCUUCUCCAGAUGCUGCACUUCUGGUGCUAAAAAUGAGAAACUGAAAUGAAUUAGUCACCCAAGGAAUGCUGACCCUGUGCUAUAUGAUCACAUUUACUCUUUAAAGCAAUGCUUUGAGGCCAAGCUAUAAAUAAAGGGUGGACUGACCUUGUCAACUGUUAAAUUGGAGCCGUGGUGCGUUGCCUAGAACAUUGCGGAUGACCCCGAGCAGCACAGCAGAUCAACGGCUGAGAAAGAGCUCAUUCAGCUCAUCUAACUAGGAUGCUGUCCUGCCAGAGCCCUGGGGGUUCUCGUCUCCUGGGGCAAAAGCAGCAUGCAACCC
rnacentral:lncRNA from 1 species